UUUCAUAAGAAACACCUAUUUAUGAUAAACCCUGCCCACUGUUCCAUAAAAGGCUGCGGUAUCCUGACCGUACUAAGGUAGCAUAAUCAUUUGACUAUUAAUUGUAGUCUAGAAUGAAUGGGUAAACGAACUCUAUCCUGUGUCAGCAGAAUACCUAAAAAUUAACCUCUAAGUGAAAAGGCUUAGAUAGAGAAGAAGGACAAGAAGACCCUAUAGAUCUUCCUCAUAACUGAAACCACGACAUCACCUACUGAGUUUGGAUGGGGCGUCCUGAGAAUAAACCACUACUUAACAACUCACCUGACCUACGAGCAACAACUCACCACCCUUAACCCUAGCUAACACUAGAUAAAGACAACCAAAAGUUACCUUAGGGAUAACAGGCUAAUUCUUCUCCAGAGUCCAUAUUUACAGAAGAGAUUGGCACCUCGAUGUUGGCUUAGGAUUAAAUCCUGACGCAGCAGUCAGAAUUCCACAGUUUGUUCGAACUGAUAAUAUCCU
rnacentral:rRNA from 1 species